CGGUCCACGUGCUCGGUGACCGCCCCUGCCUUGCUCUCCCCGAGCAGGGCUGCUCAGGCCAGCGGGGCUUUCGGGGAACGAGGGGCUUCACGACGGGGA